GUCAAAGUGCAGCACAUACACAAAUGUGCAGGACUGUUGGUCUGCACAGGAUCCGUACUGUGUCUGGUGUGGCACUAAAAGAAGUUGCACAUUUGAAGAUGACUGCCAAGAUUCAGACUGGUUAUCCAUUCCUGACGAUUCUCAACAGAAAAUGGUUUCCUACAAAGUUGUAAAGGACAGCACAGGCCAGGUAAAGAUUACGUACAGGCUUUUAACUAUAUUCAGUUGUGACGUUUUUUUUUCUUUUGUAAACACUCACAUUUUUCCUUUCUCAGAUCACACUUAACAUCCAGACACAUCUGAGUGUGGGCCAGAAGGCGCGGUAUAACUUCGCCUGUCAAUUCUCUGCAAGUUCCAGUGAGCUUUGUAGCAGAGACGGCCUUCCUCCACAAUUCCCACAAUGCACCUGCACACUUUCUAAAAGCACACUUCCUGCUGGAGGCCUGGAUGUCACAGUCAAGAUUAAAGUUGGAACGACACAAUUGUCUAAAGUACUGAAGCUAUCCAACUGCUCAGACAUCAGGGGACCGCUAACUUCUGUCCUGUGUCGGCAAUGUAUCGGUGCCGGAUGUAGCUGGAGCGAAAAAGGCUGUUCCUGGGCAAAUCAAGCAGUGGGGAAUGACAGUGUUUGCCAAAAGAUGGAGUCAGGGGGAAAGUUUUCUAGACCAGAGAUCUCCUCCAUCACUCCCAGUGUGGUGUCUUUCUACGGUAGAAACCAUGCAGUGUUGUCGGGUCAUAACCUCAGUGAUGUGACCAGAGUGAGGAUCCAAGCGGACAUGGACUGCACUCCACAAGAGUAAGACUAAGACUAAGAUUAUGCUCGCACUAUGAAUUACGUUUUAAAGAUAGCAAUUAUAAAAGGGAAAAGUCAUCAAUAUUACAAAUUGAUAUAUUCAUCAAAUUAACAGUAUUGACAGUUGACUUGAUACUUAUCAAUGACUGUCCACUGGUUCUCAAAC
rnacentral:lncRNA from 1 species